GAAUAAAUUAAAUUAUUAAAUUUAUUAAAUAAUAAAAUUUUAAAAAAAGAAAUUUUUAUUUUAGUAUUAGAUAAGAAAAAAUUAAUUUUUAUUAUAGUUAAUUAGUAUUGUAAAAGAAAUUUAUUAUAUAAAUAAAAGAAAAAUUUAAAUUUUGUACCUUGUGUAUCAGGGUUGAUUAAAUAAUAAUUAAAGAUUUAAUAUUCUCGAAUUUAAAAGAGCUAAUUAUUUAUUAAUUUUAUUGUGAAAUAAAUAUUUAUAAUAAAUAAUUAGAAAUGAAACGUUAUUCGUUUUUAAAUAUAUCUAGUUUUUAAAGAAAUAAAUUUAAUUUAAUUAUUAAUAUUUAAAAUUUUUAUUUUUUAAUUUUUUAUUAUUAAUAAUUAAUUUUCUUAGGGAUAAGCUUGAGAAAAAAUUUUUAUAAUUAAUAAAAUAAUGAAAUAAUUUAUAGGAUUAUAAUUUUCUAUUAAUAAAAAAAUGUUAUAAUUAAUUAUUUUGGUAAUAUUAUUUUUAUUAUAUUUAAUUUUUUUAUUUAAAUUUUAUUUUGAAUAAUAUAUAAUAAGGAAUAAUGAUUAAAUUAGUAAAAUUUUAUGUAUAUUUAAUUUAAUAAUUAAGGUUAAAUUAAGGAAUUCGGCAAAUUUUAUUUUUCACCUGUUUAAUAAAAACAUGUCCUUAUGAUAUUAAUUUAAGGUCUAAUCUGCCCACUGAGGAUUUAAAUGGCCGCGGUAUUUUGACCGUGCGAAGGUAGCAUAAUAAUUAGUUUCUUAAUUAGAAGCUGGAAUGAAUGAUUGGAUGAGAAAAUAACUGUCUCAGUUUAAUUUAAAAUUGAAUUUUAUUUUUAAGUAAAAAAGCUUAAAUAAAAUUAAAAGACGAGAAGACCCUAUAGAGUUUAAUAAGUUUAGUGAUUUAAAUAUAUUAGUUUUGAAAUUUUAAAUUAUUAAGUUUAUUUUUUUGCGUUGAUAGAAAAAUUUAAU
rnacentral:rRNA from 1 species